UCAUAGCAAGGGCCGGGCAAGACCGGUGCCAGCCGCCGCGGUAACACCGGCGGCUCGAGUGGUAACCGUUAUUAUUGGGUCUAAAGGGUCUGUAGCCGGCCGGAUAAGUCUCUUGAGAAAUCUGGCAGCUUAACUGUCAGGCUUUCAGGAGAUACUGUCUGGCUCGAGGCCGGGAGAUGUGAGAGGUACUUCAGGGGUAGGGGUGAAAUCUUGUAAUCCUUGAAGGACCACCAGUGGCGAAGGCGUCUCACCAGAACGGACCUGACGGCAAGGGACGAAAGCUAGGGGCACGAACCGGAUUAGAUACCCGGGUAGUCCUAGCCGUAAACGAUACUCGCUAGGUGUCGGCCACGGUGCGACCGUUGUCGGUGCCGUAGGGAAGCCGUGAAGCGAGCC
rnacentral:rRNA from 1 species